GCGGCCUGGGUCUCGGAGGGCGGCGGCCCGUGCUCCGCUUUCUCCCGAGGGGCUGCGCUUCGGCCUUUGUGGGGCGGGGGCGUCCCGGCGGCUGGGGCAGGAUGGGGGGGCCGCUGACGUCCGCGAGGGCGGGGCGCGCUUGUUUUCGCGGCCGCGGGCGUUUGGCCGGAGGUUCGGGGCGGGCGGGCGAGCGAGCGAGCGAGCGAGCGGCCGCGGCGUUAGGCCUGGAGGGGCCGCUUGUGGGCUCCCGGUGCGAGCAUCUCCCGACGGACCCGAGCUCCGGGCCGCCGCACGCGCCGGCCCUGGCCGGCUUUUUGUUUUCGUCCUUCCUCGCCCGCGCGCCCGCCGUGCUCAGGGAAGCGCCCGGCUCGCCUCGGCUCGGCUCGGCUCGGCUGCGGAGCUGCGCCUCCCCGGGAUCCGAGGCGCGGCGGGGCCCACGGAGACCGGGGCCGGGUGAGUGCGGGGCCGCGCACCGAGAGCGGCCCGGAAGGCGUGGUGGAGGGCCGUGCCGGCCGACGGGAGUGACCGUUGUCGCCGUAGCGUGAGGCCGGGCCGCAGGGCAGGUGUGCAGCGCGCGCAGUCGGUCGGGGCCGCGGUUUUGGCGGCUUUAAAGGCUGUCAGGAGGGCGGCAGGCGAUCGUAAGUGGGAACGAGAAGACACUGACGCGUGAGAAAGGACGCGGUUGUUUGAGAGCCCGCGAAUAGCCCCUAAGGCGAUGGCUGCUGUUGUUUUACGUGGACAGCGAUUAAAAGAGAGGUUUAGCCAGGUGUGGUGGUCCUUAUACCCGGCGGACUUGAGGCCAGCCUGGUCUACACGGUGAAUUGCUGGCCAGUGAGGGCCGCAAACUGAGACUUUGUGAAUAACGAGCGGGAGGGGAGAGACACGACCCAGAAGGAAGGAGAGGGGGUUACUCCAUAACUGGAGGCUAGCCUGGGCAACACAGGACCCAUCAAAAGGAAAAAAACGGGGUUGAUCUCAGAAACCAGCCUCAAUUCCCCAAACCUAAAUAAAAUAUGUACCACAGUGACUCGCUCGCUCAAUAAAGGUAGUUUACCGCUGCUGUUGUUUUAUGAUUUCUGCAACAUUGAAGCCCUGUUGAGGGCUCCCCAGAGGUAGUACACGUAGGAAUUUAUUACAGUGAGAAAACAGGGAAUGUGGACUUAGCCUGUAGGACCUCAUUAGUAACUUCCUUCAGGGUGGCCAGAUGCAAGCAGAUCCAGAAUUAGAAUGUUACGUGAUUUCUGUGUCCAGAGCAAAUGUUUGAAGAUUGACUAGUUUUGCCCGUGGUCAGACUCACCCGAGUUGACUUAGUUUUCCUAUAUAAAAAAAGGACCUAGCCGGGCGUUGGUGGCACACGCCUUUAAUCCCAGCACUCAGGAGGCAGAGGAAGGCGGAUCUCUGUGAGUUCGAGGCCAGCCUGGUGUCCAGAGCAAGUCCAGGACAGGCUCCAAAGCUACACAGAGAAACCCUGUCUUGAAAAAACAAAAAAAUAAAAGGACCUAAGAGCUAGGUGUGGUGUCUGAAAUUCCAGAACGCAGGAGGCUGAGGCAGGAUUGCUGAAAGUUAAAACCCCCUCCUAGGUUACAGAGAGAUCCUAAGGUUAACCUGAACAAUUUAGGGAAACCCUGUGUCAAGAAGGUUGAGGAUGGGGCACCUAAGAUUGUAGCCGAGAGUACUGCCCUUGCCUAACUAUAAUGUGCAAGGCUGUAAGUUAGGACACGGUGUCUGUGGUAGUUCAGAGGCACAACAGCAGUUAAGAGCAUUUCUUGUUCUUGCAGAGAACUGGGGUUCAAUUCCCAACACCCACAUAGGCUGGCACAACGGUCUGUAACUCCAGUUCCUGGGAACCUAACACCUUUUGACGUCGGCACACACACACAUAGUGCCGGGACAUACAUGCUAGCAAAACACUCCUAUACAUAGAUCUAAAAAAGGAAGUGCUACACACAAAUUGCUGAUGCACACCUGGUGUCCCAGAGUUUGGGAGCUGAAGGAAGGAGAAUUAGGACAGGAAGGUCAGCCUGGGUUCUGUAAUGAGUUUGAGGCCAGCCUGGAUGACACAGGUACAGCUCAAAAAAGCAAAUGACAGCUGCUGGUGGUGGUGGCGGCGACCUGAGGCAACAGUGGUGCACGUCUUUGAUCCCAGCUUUCCAGAGGCAGAGGAAGGCUGAUCUCUGUAUUGUGUCCAGGAGGCCAGAAGAGGGCAUCAGAGCCCCCAAAGCCGGAAUAAAAAGGUGGUGACCUCCAGGCCAACCAGGACUGAAUACCCUGAAAUUUAGGCCAGAUGCAUUCUCAGGAAAAGGAGGUGAGGUUCCUGAGUGGAAGAGAAAGCCUGAAAUUCAGGUUUCAGAAAUGGAGUGAAGCAAAAUGUCUCCUGCCAAAGCGAUGUCAAAGGAGCAGCUCAGGGAUGAGCGGACUGACUCCAGGGUGCUUGGCCUCCCCAAGCCUGAGAUGUUUUCAGAAAGGACGUGGCGACAGUUAAUCAGCAAACACCGAU
rnacentral:lncRNA from 1 species